rnacentral:rRNA from 1 species
AGUAGCGGCGAGCGAAGCGGGAAGAGCCCAAAAUGAAAAGCCAGCUUGCUGGCGUUGUAUUUGAGCGUCUUUGGGGUGUCAGUUCGGGAAAGUGGCAUGGAAAUGCGCGCCGAGGAGGGUGAUAGCCCCGUCCAUCCCGUUCAGGACACUUCGCACUAAGGCGUUUCAGACGAGUCGGGUAGCUUGGGAAUGCUGCUCUAAUUGGUGGUAAAUCUCAUCAAAGGCUAAAUAAUGGUAGGAGACCGAUAGCGAAAAAGUACCGUGAGGGAAAGAUGAAAAGCACUUUGAAAAGAGGGUAAAAAGAACCUGAAACCGUUACGGGGGAAGCGGAUUGCGUUAGCCUGGUGGCUACCUGUGUGUUCAGCCUUUAUGGUGCAUUGAUGCAGGUGGUUAUCUGUCGUGGCUUUUCGGUGGCUGAUAUUGAGUUGCUGAAGGGUGAGGGCUCCCCUUUUGGGUGAGGACGACGGAGUGAUGACGCGAUACGACCCGUCUUGAAACACGGACCAAGGAGUCUAGCGCGGGUGCGAGUCAGAGGGUUGUAAACCCGUGGGCGAAGUGAAAGCAAGUUUUUAACAAAACGAGCAGUUUGGGGCGGCAUAGAAUCGUUGAUUCUAGGUCUGACCUUGAGCAGUUGCGCUGGGACCCGAAAGAUGGUGAACUAUGCCGGAGUAGGGCGAAGCCAGAAGAAAUUCUGGUGGAGGCUCGUAGCGGUGCUGACGUGCAAAUCGCUCGUCGAACUUGGGUAUAGGGGCGAAAGACUAAUCGAACCAUCUAGUAGCUGGUUUCCUCCGAAGUUUCUCUCAGGAUAGCAGGCCGACAUGAGUUGUUUUGUGCGGUAAAGCGAAUGAUUAGCGCAUUCGGGGGCGUUUAGCCUUCGGGCGAUUCUCAAACUUUAAAUGCGCAAGGGUACCGGUGCUUUGUUGAGCGGUACCGUUAAAAACGUCGGCCUUGUGGGCCACUUUUGGUAAGCAGAACUGGCGAUACGGG